UACGUAGGGUGCGAGCGUUGUCCGGAUUUAUUGGGCGUAAAGCGCUUGUAGGCGGCUCGUCAAGUCGCGUGUGAAAUCCCCAGGCUUAACCUGGGAAGUGCGCGCGAAACUGACGAGCUUGAGUGCCGGAGAGGGUCGCGGAAUUCCCGGUGUAGAGGUGAAAUUCGUAGAUAUCGGGAGGAACACCAGUGGCGAAGGCGGCGACCUGGACGGACACUGACGCUGAGACGCGAAAGCGUGGGGAGCAAACAGG
rnacentral:rRNA from 1 species